GUGUUAAUUAAACCUCUAUUUAC
rnacentral:miRNA from 2 species